UACGAAGGGGGCUAGCGUUGCUCGGAAUCACUGGGCGUAAAGGGUGCGUAGGCGGGUCUUUAAGUCAGGGGUGAAAUCCUGGAGCUCAACUCCAGAACUGCCUUUGAUACUGAGGAUCUUGAGUCCGGGAGAGGUGAGUGGAACUGCGAGUGUAGAGGUGAAAUUCGUAGAUAUUGGGAGGAACACCGGUGGCGAAGGCGGCCCUCUGGACCGGUACUGACGCUGAUGCGCGAAAGCGUGGGGAGCAAACGGG
rnacentral:rRNA from 1 species